CCUACGGGAGGCAGCAGUGGGGAAUCUUGCGCAAUGGGCGAAAGCCUGACGCAGCCAUGCCGCGUGAAUGAUGAAGGUCUUAGGAUUGUAAAAUUCUUUCACCGAGGACGAUAAUGACGGUACUCGGAGAAGAAGCCCCGGCUAACUUCGUGCCAGCAGCCGCGGUAAUACGAAGGGGGCUAGCGUUGCUCGGAAUUACUGGGCGUAAGGGGAGCGUAGGCGGAUAGUUUAGUCAGAGGUGAAAGCCCAGGGCUCAACCUUGGAAUUGCCUUUGAUACUGGCUAUCUUGAGUACGGAAGAGGUAUGUGGAACUCCGAGUGUAGAGGUGAAAUUCGUAGAUAUUCGGAAGAACACCAGUGGCGAAGGCGACAUACUGGUCCGUUACUGACGCUGAGGCUCGAAAGCGUGGGGAGCAAACAGGAUUAGAUACCCUGGUAGUCCACGCUGUAAACGAUGAGUGCUAGUUGUCGGGCAUGCAUGCAUGUCGGUGACGACGAGCUAACGACACUUAAGUACGACUCCGCCGUCGGGAGGUACGGUACGCGAAGAAGUAAACUACAAGAGAGUAGACGCGAGAGACGACGACGACGGACGACGACGGAGGGAGGAGG
rnacentral:rRNA from 1 species